rnacentral:rRNA from 1 species
GACGAACGCUGGCGGCGUGCUUAACACAUGCAAGUCGAACGGAAAGGCCCUGCUUUUGUGGGGUGCUCGAGUGGCGAACGGGUGAGUAACACGUGAGUAACCUGCCCUUGACUUUGGGAUAACUUCAGGAAACUGGGGCUAAUACCGGAUAGGAGCUCCUGCUGCAUGGUGGGGGUUGGAAAGUUUCGGCGGUUGGGGAUGGACUCGCGGCUUAUCAGCUUGUUGGUGGGGUAGUGGCUUACCAAGGCUUUGACGGGUAGCCGGCCUGAGAGGGUGACCGGCCACAUUGGGACUGAGAUACAGCCCAGACUCCUACGGGAGGCAGCAGUGGGGAAUAUUGCACAAUGGGUGGAAGCCUGAUGCAGCAACGCCGCGUGCGGGAUGACGGCCUUCGGGUUGUAAACCGCUUUCGCCUGUGACGAAGCGUGAGUGACGGUAAUGGGUAAAGAAGCACCGGCUAACUACGUG